rnacentral:rRNA from 1 species
GACGAACGCUGGCGGUGUGCUUAACACAUGCAAGUCGAACGGUAAGGCCCUUUCGGGGGUACACGAGUGGCGCACGGGUGAGUAACACGUGAGUAACCUGCCCUCAUCUCUGGGAUAACAGUCGGAAACGGUUGCUAAUACUGGAUAUGAGCUUGCAAGGCAUCUUGUGGGUUGGAAAGCUUUUUUUGGUUGGGGAUGGACUCGCGGCCUAUCAGCUUGUUGGUGAGGUAGUGGCUCACCAAGGCUUCGACGGGUAGCCGGCCUGAGAGGGCGACCGGCCACAUUGGGACUGAGAUACGGCCCAAACUCCUACGUGAGGCAGCAGUGGGGAAUAUUGCACAAUGGACGGAAGACUGAUGCAGCAACGCCGCGUGCGGGAGGACGGCCUUCGGGUUGGAAACCGCUUUCAAUUGUGACGAAGCUUUUUGUGACGGUAGCAGUAGAAGAAGCACCAGCUAACUACGUG